rnacentral:rRNA from 1 species
AUGGGCGCAAGCCUGAUCCAGCAAUGCCGCGUGCAGGAUGAAGGCCUUCGGGUUGUAAACUGCUUUUGUACGGAACGAAAAGCCCUGGGUUAAUACCCUGGGGUCAUGACGGUACCGUAAGAAUAAGCACCGGCUAACUACGUGCCAGCAGCCGCGGUAAUACGUAGGGUGCAAGCGUUAAUCGGAAUUACUGGGCGUAAAGCGUGCGCAGGCGGUUUUGUAAGACAGAGGUGAAAUCCCCGGGCUCAACCUGGGAACUGCCUUUGUGACUGCAAGGCUAGAGUACGGCAGAGGGGGAUGGAAUUCCGCGUGUAGCAGUGAAAUGCGUAGAUAUGCGGAGGAACACCGAUGGCGAAGGCAAUCCCCUGGGCCUGUACUGACGCUCAUGCACGAAAGCGUGGGGAGCAAACAGGAUUAGAUACCCUGGUAGUCCACGCCCUAAACGAUGUCAACUGGUUGUUGGGUCUUAACUGACUCAGUAACGAAGCUAACGCGUGAAGUUGACCGCCUGGGGAGUAC